UACGGGGGGGGGCAAGCGUUGUUCGGAAUUACUGGGCGUAAAGGGCUCGUAGGCGGCCAACUAAGUCAGACGUGAAAUCCCUCGGCUUAACCGGGGAACUGCGUCUGAUACUGGAUGGCUUGAGAUUGGGAGAGGGAUGCGGAAUUCCAGGUGUAGCGGUGAAAUGCGCAGAUAUCAGGAGGAACACCAGUGGCGAAGGCGGCUUUCUGGUCUGUAACUGACGCUGAGGCGCGAAAGCGUGGGGAGCAAACAGG
rnacentral:rRNA from 1 species